GUUGAAACACCAGUCCUCGUCUGAUCACCGAAGUUAAGCUACGUCGAAUCUAGCGAGAGUACGAGAGUACUUAGAUGGGUGACCACUAGGGAAUAUCGGCUGCUGUAAG